UCAUGCUUCACAUAAUCAUAUUCAUAUAUAUGCCAUGCCAAGAUAUAAGAGUAAGCAAUUCAGGUAAGAAUAAUUUCAUAGAAAUGUAACAUAUAUGCCGGAACCCCUGUGGUAGUCUGUACGGCUGAAUUCAUAGCUCAAAAGUCAAUCUAGCCGGAGUCACUACAAUGACCUAUACGGCACUAUACUGCACAAGAGUCAGAACCAAAUGAAAAGGUCUGUACGACAAUACUGG
rnacentral:lncRNA from 1 species